rnacentral:rRNA from 1 species
GACGAACGCUGGCGGCGUGCUUAACACAUGCAAGUCGAGCGGUAAGGCCCUUUCGGGGGUACACGAGCGGCGAACGGGUGGGUAACACGUGGGUGACCUGCCCUCCAGCUCUGGGAUAAGCCUGGGAAACCGGGUACUAAUACUGGAUAUGACUCCAUGACGCAUGUUGUGGGGUGGAAAGCCUUGUGCGGCUGAGGAUGGGCCCGCGGCCUAUCAGCUUGUUGGUGGGGUGAUGGCCUACCAAGGCGA